UAAAGUUAUAGCCUAGAGCUUGGUCCUAGGGGCAGUGCGCUCGUAGAACCCUUAGCUGUUAGAAGAUAAAGGUUUUUGAGAGGCGCUCACAUGCAGGAAGAAACAGUGAAGACUCCCAAUAACUUUUUUUUUUAACUUGGGGCCUUGGAGGGCGGACUGUUCCUCUAUGAUCAUGUUAUGUGCCCCACGAAGCAACAGCCAUUGGGAAACGCAUUCAAUUGUUUACCCGGUUAAAGGCUUGUGCAUACAGUAUGCGUAUCGCAGACGUGCACGAGCACGUUGUAAUAUAUAGAUGCUUACAAAACACGGCACACCGCUAGCGUGACGUGUGCGUGUACGGUUCCAAUAAUUUAGCGGACGCGUAAGUGCACGUCUACGCACACGCAGCCGGUGUCUGGAAUUUACUGUAGUUUCGCUAGUUAAAUUCUAAAUUCAAACUGGUUUUCCAAUGGCGGUUACGACAGUAACAAGUAUCUAGUCUAAUCUUGUGUGAUUGAUUGAGUGGUUGUUUUAUUGCACAAUAAGAAGUUUCCGUUUUAGAUCUCAUUUCAUGAUACGUUUGAAAGUCCUACGAAUAGAGUAGAACUUUGAAUGUUCAUCCUAUCCUAGUCUCUAUAUCCUAUUAUAGUAAGUAUGAUGUAAGCUAUAUUAUUUAUUGCAUACCUGACACGGAUGAAAAUACAAUUUAGUGUUAUGUAUUUGUACAAUGUCUUAAAUAUGUAAGGCGAGAUAUGCUUGGGACGAUUUACUGGUAUGUUCAAUUCGAUUUUCCAUCGAAUAAUUUUAAAUUCAAAGUAUUCAAACUAGUUUCCCAAUGGCUGUUACGACUGUUACGAGUAUCUAGUCUAGUCUUGUGUGAUUGAUUGAGUGGUUGUUUUAUUGCACAAUAAGAACAUUCCGUUCUGGAUCUCAUUUCAUGAUACGUUUGGAAGUCUACGAGUAAAGUAGAACUUUACGAAACGUAACUUCCGAUACCAUUUAAUGUGAAUCUUAUACUAGUCUCUAGAUUCUAAUUAUGAGGGACACGAGGGUAACCUAUAUUAUUUAUAGUAUAUAUUGCACACCUGUCACAAAUGAAAAUACAAUUUAGUGUUAAGUUAUGUAUUUGUUCAAUGUCUUAAAUAUGUAAGGCGAGAUAUGCUUGGGACGAUUUAGUGUUAGCGAUGUUCAAUUUGAUGUUGCAUCGAACUAUGUGGAUGAUAAAUUAAUUUGUAGUUAAUCAGUAGUUAGUUGAAGUUUCAUAUAGUAAAUAUAUAAAAUAUAAAUCAACCUGGGCAUACCUUGGCUUCAUUUAUAGACAGGUCAACAUAAAUUUUGUGUGGAAUACUGUGUACGAAAAUUGUAAAUAUAUUUAUUGUGAAGCAAAAUUUAAUUUUCAUAAUGUGACUUUUGCAUUUAUCUUCCUUUCUUCCUUUACCUACCUACACCAAUAAGAUCUUUAACAAAUGAUUGUAUUUUAGCCGAUGUUUUUAUUUUGAUUUCUUUCGUUUUAUUUAUUUACAGAUUUUCCUUCGUAUGAAAUUAUUCCCUCUUCUAAAGGAACUCCACUUCUCAUGAUCAAUGGAUAUACGUUUUCAAAAAGGAAUCAGUAUUACUAUCGCUGUUCUAAAUAUAACACUAAAAAGUGCGAGGUGGUAGUCAAAUUCGACGAGAAGGGAAGCAUAAAAUCAUACCAAGGGAAUCAUAAUCACCCACCACCAAUUCCACCAAAGUAUGUCCCGACGGCAGAUGAAUUUCCUUCGUAUGAAAUGAUUCCCUCUUCUAAAGGAACUUCACUUCUCAUGAUCGAUGGAUUUACGUUUUCAAAAAGGAAACAGCAUUAUUAUCGCUGUUCUAAAUAUAAAACUAAAAAGUGCGAGGUGGUAGUCAAAUUGGACGAUAUGGGAAAUAUAAAAUCGUACCAAGGGAAUCAUAAUCAUCCACCACCAAAUUAUGUUCAGACGGCAGAUGGAAAGUAUUUAAGAGCAUAGUCAAGCUACAAGAUGAUCGCUACCUGCCGAGGCACACUUCUCAUGCUCAACGGCUAUACCUACUCUAAGAACAACCGAGGCUUCCUCUACUACUGCCGCCAUUACGACGGAGUCACUCGCUGCACCUCAGGAGUCAAGCUCGACAAGUUCGGGAACAUAGUUUGGGUGAGAGAGGAACAUCACCAUCCACCUCCGGUCUAUGUUCAGACGGCUUCCGGCUUGUAUCUGAAGGUUGGGUGCCAGAAAAAGAGGGAGUUGCUGUUCGAUGUGCCGAUUCUUUAGGAAUUUAGAUGCUAGACUAUUUUUGUCGUCGUAUGAAAGAGAUAGCUACUUUCGCGUAAGAAUGUGAUUGAGCUAAAUUAUUAUUCCAUUAAGUAAAAGUUCGCUAACUGCCGUGGCACGCUUCUCAUGUUCAACGGCGACACCUACUCCAAUAACAAGCAAGGCUUCCUUUAUUACUGCCCUCAUUAUGAUGGAGUCACUUGCUGCACCUCAAGGAGUCAUGCUCGACAAGUUCGGGAAUAUAGAAGGAAGAUGCUGUUUGAUGUGCCGAGAUCUUUCGGUUUUGGAUUUAGGAAUUUUGGCUGUUAGAUAAUUUUUGUCUUGUCAUUUGAAGGAUAACUUCCCGUAAGUAGAAUAUAUUAUUCGAAGAAACAUGAAAUUAGGUAUACAUUAUAAAAUGUCUGUAGUUAAAAAAACUAGUCAAGUGCAACGAAAACGAGUGCAGAAUAUAGAAUCUCUAUAAAAAUUACUUGUUUUCAUAGAUUUAUUGUAGAUUUAGGCUAAAGAAUGGAAUGCGCUCCCGCCCUCUGUAUUCCCUGAUAAAUAUGACCUCGGUCUCUUUAAAGCAAGAGUGAAUAGGCUACUACUGAAUCGGUGAGCUCCAUCUUAGGCCCUGUCUUCACUUUCCAUCAGGUGUGAUUAGAGCCAAUCGCCGAUCAGUUUUUUAAUAAAUAAAUAAAAAAGAUUUAAAUCCUGGAGCGGUGUUCCGAUUUUGUAAUUUAUAAUUUAUAGUCAGUUUUGAUAUAAUUGAUGAUGCAACCUUGACACGAUGGCAGUGUAAGCGAUCGUAUAUCGAGUCGUUAACAGAAAUCUGUUAUUACUUAUAUAAGUAUAGUCAGAAUUGAGCUAUAUGAGCUCCUGCUUGUGACUGUACUUCAUAAUAUUUUGUAGCAUAUCUAAAACAAUAACAUUAUUGUUAUCAUAUGCAUAAAAUAACAUAUGAGUAUUAGACGCUUGUAUACAGUGUGAAUUUUUGAUAUAACCGAAAACUUAAACGAGACGUAGGUUUCAAUACUAUGAAAUGAUUAAACAAUAAAUUUUCAAUAUAUUAUUUGACGACCGGUCUGGCCUUGUGGGUAGUGACCCUGCCUAUGAAGCCGAUGGUCCCGGGUUCAAAUCCUGGUAAGGGCAUUUAUUCGUGUGAUGAGCAUGGAUAUUUGUUCCUGAGUCAUGGGUGUUUUCUAUGUAUUUAAGUAUUUAUAAAUAUUUAUAUAUUAUAUAUAUCGUUGUCUAAGUACCCUCAACACAAGCCUUAUUGAGCUUACUGUGGGACUUAGUCAAUUUGUGUAAUAAUGUCCUAUAAUAUUUAUUUAUUUAUUUAUUUAUUUAUUAUUAUGCUUUGGUGCAUAGUUAAUUAUUAAAAAUGUUUUGAGCGGCAAUGUAUUUCGUACAUUCUGAUGACAGUUGUAACGUCGCGUCACUAAAUGCGACGUUUUGAGGUUAAGAAAAGUAGUGAUACAUUGCUUGCUGAAUUAUUUUACAAGUAAAAAUAAAAGUCGUACUUUAUUAUAAAACUAAUGAAGGUGUGUUCAUAAGGGCCUAACUGCCCUAUGAUUAUGCGAUCGUAUCAAAAAUACAUGCUGUAUUAAAAACGCUUAUUAGAAUUAGUUGGUAUUUAUUGGUGUAUUAAGUAAAAUAAUAAAGUAUCCAAAAUGUGCUACAUAGUGGCUAUUCUAAUUCUGAAAUGCUUUAAUUUAGUUUCAAAAUUUUUUGCAGCUAAUAAUAAACUGUACUAGCAGUUAAUGAAUAACUUAAGUUAAAAUUAUAUAUGAGAGAAUAGUUUAAUUCUUUAGAACAAAUAUUUAUUCAUAAACAAUGUAAUCAAAUGUAAUAAUAUAUCAAAAUCGAUGUGAUAGAAACUAUUGUUUUCCUUGUAAUCCAGCUUUUGCAAUUUAGCCCCUGACAUGGUCAAAUUAGCCCUCUGUGUACCUGUCUUCGGUAUAUUUGUAUGCUUCACGACGCGUUUGUCGUUAUAUAUUAAAGCAUUUUAAUCCAAUAUUCUUAUAAGGUUGAUAAAAUUAUUCACCUUGAGAAUAUUGCAGUUGUGUCGUGUAAUUAUAACUCCUUGUAGCUUUGUGUAUCUAAUAUGUACAAAAUAUUUUUGAACUCUCGUGACCAAAAAUCCCGUGUCUGUAAUAAAAAACAGAAAUAUAGUCAUUUUCCUUUUUUACAUCCAUAAGCUCAUUGUAUAAUAAUUACCUAUAUGCUAUAGACUGCGUCUACCGUCCAGUGGCGCCCUCAUUAGGGGAAUUUUUUUUAUGUAAAAAUCAGUAUAUUCAUAUUGUUAUCCUACUGGUUUCCCCAACUUAUGGUCUUUAUCACAUACUUUUAUUUUACUUAUUUUUGGCUUUAUCAUCUUAACGGAAAAAUGUGGCCACCAUUUGCCGUUUAGUUUCCCCUAAUGAGGGCGCCAGUGGAUGGUCGACGCAGUCUUCAAUAGGAAAAACGAUAAUAAUAUACAUCUAUAUUACCCUCCCGAAUCUAUCGCACUCAUUUUUUGAUAUUUGAUAUCAAAUUAAACAUUGGAAAAAGAAAAAAACACUUGUAGGGAAUCCUCAUACCAUUUCUCUCGCCUCGAGUAAAAUAAACUAUGUUUGUCUUACCCGACAUGAUAUUAUAGAAGAAAACCAUUAAUUUAAAGUACCCAUAAUAAAAAGUUUUUAUUCCAUUUUUUAGACAUUACUUACAAGAUGAUAUCAGUAGGCCGCGGCCACCCUCUCCUGAUGCUAAACGGCUACACCUUCUCCAGCCGAGGCCACCAGCUGUACUACUGCUCUAAGCUGACCAAGGGCUGCAAGGCCAGUGUCAAGCUGGACCUGGAAGGCAGGGUCGAGAGGCUGAGGGGAGAGCAUAACCAUCCACCGCCGAGAUAUGUUAUGACUUCGAGUGGAGUUUAUUUGAAGACGGGAUGAAACUGCUGAAGAUUAUUGGUUGUAUGAGAAACGGCUACAAUGUUCGAACUGAGUCCUUGUAAAUUCUUUUUUUGGAUCAUUUACCUUCUAAAAUAAAUUAUGUCAUUUAUUUUCA